GGAGAGGUGGCUGAGUGGUCGAAAGCGGCGGUCUUGAAAACCGUUGAGGGUAACACCUCCCAGGGUUCGAAUCCCUGUCUCUCCGCCA
rnacentral:tRNA from 1 species